rnacentral:rRNA from 1 species
GACGAACGCUGGCGGCGUGCCUAACACAUGCAAGUCGAGCGGAGUUAAUUGAAAGCUUGCUUUUGAUUAACUUAGCGGCGGACGGGUGAGUAACGCGUGGGCAACCUGCCUGUUACAGGGGGAUAACACAGGGAAACUUGUGCUAAUACCGCAUAACACAACGAGAAAGCAUUUUCUUGUUGUCAAAGGAGCAAUCCGGUAAUAGAUGGGCCCGCGUCCAAUUAGCUAGUUGGUGAUGUAACGGACCACCAAGGCGACGAUUGGUAGCCGAACUGAGAGGUUGAUCGGCCACAUUGGGACUGAGACACGGCCCAGACUCCUACGGGAGGCAGCAGUGGGGAAUAUUGCACAAUGGGGGAAACCCUGAUGCAGCAACGCCGCGUGAAGGAUGAAGGUUUUCGGAUUGUAAACUUCUUUAGUCAGGGACGAAUAAAUGACGGUACCUGAAGAAUAAGCCACGGCUAACUACGUGCCAGCCGCCGCCGUAA